GGGGGUGUAGCUCAUCUGGUAGAGCGCGUGCUUAGCAUCUCUGAAUAUAUCGCUCAUCCCGGGUGAUUGUCAGUACAAUGUUCCUGCACGAGGUACUGGGUUCGACUCCCAGCUCCUCCA